rnacentral:rRNA from 1 species
UCCCAGACUCCUACGGGAGGCAGCAGUGGGGAAUAUUGGGCAAUGGGCGCAAGCCUGACCCAGCAACGCCGCGUGAAGGAAGAAGGCUUUCGGGUUGUAAACUUCUUUUCUGAGGGACGAAGAAAGUGACGGUACCUCAGGAAUAAGCCACGGCUAACUACGUGCCAGCAGCCGCGGUAAUACGUAGGGGGCAAGCGUUAUCCGGAUUUACUGGGUGUAAAGGGAGCGUAGACGGACUUGCAAGUCUGAUGUGAAAAUCCGGGGCCCAACCCCGGAACUGCAUUGGAAACUGUAUAUCUAGAGUGUCGGAGAGGCAAGUGGAAUUCCUGGUGUAGCGGUGAAAUGCGUAGAUAUCAGGAGGAACACCAGUGGCGAAGGCGGCUUGCUGGACGAUGACUGACGUUGAGGCUCGAAAGCGUGGGGAGCAAACAGGAUUAGAUACCCGCGUAU